AAGCUAUUUAUAUCAUUACCAAAUUGCACACUUAACAUAACUGUUAAAUGUGCAAACUGGUAAUGAAAUAAAUACUG
rnacentral:pre_miRNA from 1 species